rnacentral:lncRNA from 1 species
GGACUCUGUAAUAACUUGUAAGGUGGAACUUUUGUCUAAAAACCUAGUCUCACUCACUACAUUUUUAAGGUUUCUGUGCAUUAUGGAUUAUUUUAUGAAAGGCAAGGCUUGAAUGCACACUAAAUGCUUAGCUAUAUUAAUUACAUUUGUAAGAUUUCUCUCCAGUAUGAACUAUCUGAUGUUUUGCAAGGUGUGAAAUUUGAUUAAAGGCUCUGCCACAUUCGUUACAUUUAUGUCUCUCUCCAGUAUGAAUUCUCUGAUGAAUUGUUAAGGAGAACUUGUUCCUGAAGUCCUUAUCACAUUCCUUACAUGUAUAAGGUUUCCUUCCAAUGUGGAUUAACAGAUGGGCAGUGAGGCUUG